GACGUAGGGCGCGAGCGUUGUCCGGAUUUAUUGGGCGUAAAGAGCUCGUAGGCGGCUUGUCGCGUCGGCUGUGAAAACCCGCGGCUCAACUGUGGGCGGGCAGCUGAUACGGGCAGACUGGAGUACUGCAGGGGAGACUGGAAUUCCUGGUGUAGCGGUGGAAUGCGCAGAUAUCAGGAGGAACACCGGUGGCGAAGGCGGGUCUCUGGGCAGUAACUGACGCUGAGGAGCGAAAGCGUGGGGAGCGAACAGG
rnacentral:rRNA from 1 species